UUGAUGUUUUAAUUGGAUGUCACUCAAUAUCUAUAUACUAUAAGACAUCAAAAUUCUGUCAAGAAUUAAUAUGGUUGACCAGGUGUGUUGGAACACACAUGUGAUCCCAGCAGCUCAGGAGAUUUAGGCAGGUGGAUCACAAGUUCAAAGACAGCCUCAGCAACUUAGCAAGUUCCUAAGCAACUGAGAUCAUAUCUCAAAAAAUAAAAAGGUUUGGGGUGUGGCUUAGUGGUUGAGUGCCCCUAAAUUCAAUCCCUGGUACAAAAAAAAGAUGUGGUUGUAAUUGUUGGAUCUUACAACUUGGUAAAAUUAUCCAAUAAAGGUAAAAUGAUAAACUGACAAAUUUUAGCAAACUCAGAUUUAAAAAGCUAUUAAAAGAUAUUUUGUGUGUAAAAGAAAAGAGACUAU
rnacentral:lncRNA from 1 species